rnacentral:lncRNA from 1 species
GGAAAGGCAGAGACGGUGAGAGUGAAGUAGUGAGUAGUGAACGAAGAAGGAAUUAUCGCUCAGUUGCUACCCAGUGCUCCAGCUGUCAACAGAGCCUGGAUCCCAGGAGCGACCUGCUGUAUAGAGGCUGGCCUGGGCCAUAGAAACCCAGGAGAGGAGUCAACAGUUGUGUUUCACCCCACCUCUUGAUCUGAUUUUCUCACAGAAAGCCAGGCAGGAUCUGCUACUUAGGAGUCUUUAGUCCCACAUGGAGUCCUCAGAGCUUCAGGGGCUCAGUGCUAACCGUUCAACCUACUCAAGGCAUUUUAGUAGGAGGGGCUGGGGCUUAACGUGGUGUUUGAUCACUUCACUUGCACUUGUAGAGGACCUGGGUUCACUUUAUCUUACAAUAAAUGAAUGAAUAAAUAAAUAAACAAAUAAAUGGCUUUAAAGAGUUGAAAGGCAGCAGACAUCGUAGCGCACACCAUUAAUCCCCGCACUCAGGAGGCAGAGACAGAUGGAGUUCAAAGCCAGCCUGAUCUACAUUGCAAGUUCUAGGACAGCCAGGUCUACACAAACCUGUCUUGAAACACCAAAGACCAGGGACUAAAUCCCUGGUGUGGCUCUCCAGGUCAGAACACUCAGCUCCUGUGCUAUUCCCGGUCUCUUGUUUCUGCUUAGUUUCCCAUAGAAUGUUCUGGAACAUACUACUAUAUAUGCC